AACAUCGCGCACCUGCGGGAACCUGCGGAAGGAUCAUUACUGAGUGCGGGUUCCAAUGAGCCCAACCUCCCACCCGUGUUUACCGUAACCGCGUUGCCUCGGCGGGCCCACUGGGGCCUGUCCCCGGUCGCCGGGGGGCAUCUGCCCCCGGGCCCGCGCCCGCCGAAGCGCCCUAGAACCCUGCCUGAACAGUGAGUCUGAGUGAGUGAUUGAAUCAUUAAAACUUUUAACAACGGAUCU
rnacentral:misc_RNA from 1 species